UACAGAGACUGCAAGCGUUAUUCGGAUUCACUGGGCGUAAAGGGUGCGCAGGCGGCCAUGUGGGUGAGGCGUGAAAGCCCGGGGCUUAACCCCGGAAUUGCACCUCAAACUACAUGGCUAGAGCAUUGGAGAGGGUAGCAGAAUUCAUGGUGUAGCAGUGAAAUGCGUAGAUAUCAUGAGGAAUACCAGAGGCGAAGGCGGCUACCUGGACAAUUGCUGACGCUCAGGCACGAAAGCGUGGGGAGCAAAAGGG
rnacentral:rRNA from 1 species